CGCUCGGCCGGGGUGCCGGGCUGCCCGGGCCGCUCCCGCUCGCCCUGGUCGGGGUGGCGGCCGGGCUGGGUCUGCUCGGUGCCGGCCUGGCCGG
rnacentral:tRNA from 1 species